CGUAGUCCUCGGACCGAGCGUAGUACUCGUCGGGGCUCAGGGCUCCCCAGAAGUUGGACCACAGCUUCCCGUGGCGGGACAGCAUGGGCGCUAUCACCUUCCUGUGGAUGGGCAGAGGAUGCGCAGGGUCUGCUGGUUGGUGAUGACGGCGUCAGCAUCCAGGCUGAAGUAGAAUUCGCACUCGGGGUCCUGCCGACAGCUGUCCCUGGAGGAUUGCUGGAUUAAACGAAAUUACAGAAGUAGAGCCCCGACCCAGAGCCUUGGCACAAACCCGAAGGCGCCUGGAACAUCCCAAGCCCCACCACUCUUGGCCCCUCAGCCUUGGGCACUCUGCCACUCACCACCAGAGUUGAGGAAGCGCUUCCCCGUGCCCACCUCAGGGUA